CCUACGGGCGGCAGCAGUGGGGAAUAUUGGACAAUGGGGGCAACCCUGAUCCAGCCAUGCCGCGUGUGUGAAGAAGGCCCUCGGGUUGUAAAGCACUUUCAGUGAGGAAGAACGCCUGGUGGUUAAUACCCAUCAGGAAAGACAUCACUCACAGAAGAAGCACCGGCUAACUCCGUGCCAGCAGCCGCGGUAAUACGGAGGGUGCGAGCGUUAAUCGGAAUUACUGGGCGUAAAGCGCGCGUAGGUGGCUUGAUAAGCCGGUUGUGAAAGCCCCGGGCUCAACCUGGGAACGGCAUCCGGAACUGUCAAGCUAGAGUGCAGGAGAGGAAAGUAGAAUUCCCGGUGUAGCGGUGAAAUGCGUAGAGAUCGGGAGGAAUACCAGUGGCGAAGGCGGCCUUCUGGACUGACACUGACACUGAGGUGCGAAAGCGUGGGUAGCAAACAGGAUUAGAUACCCGUGUAGUC
rnacentral:rRNA from 1 species